AGCUUUGCACAGUGGCAGUAUCGUAGCCAAUGAGGUUUAUCUGAGGCGUGAUUAUUGCUAAUUGAAAACUUUUCCCAGUCCUCUGCCAUGACUUGAAAUAUAUUCAUCAUUGGCAAUUUUUGACAUUCUCUACAGAGA